CAGCUAGUUUUUUCCCCCUUCUUCUCCAUUUGCUUUAAAAAAAUUUUUUUUUCUUUAAAAGUAUGAAGCUUUGAGACGCUGUGUCUCUUGGAUUACUCAGGAGAUAAGGCAUUUGUGCUUUGAGUAAUGACAGCAAUAACUGUUUACUGAAUAAUUUUUGUGUCAAGACUGACUGUAUACUUUGUGGAGCCCCAUGCAAAUGGGAAUGUGGCGCCCACUAUUCGACAAUUAUUGAGAAUUUCAAGACGGCAGAGCAUUACCCAAAGUACAGGUCCCUUCUCCGUGGAACUGUGCAGAUGGCAUGUCCAUGAAGCUGGCUCCGACUGGGUUAAUUCUUCACAUCUGUGGCCAUCUGAAGAAGAUCUUAUCUUCCCAGCAGCAAAAGCUUUCCUUCUUUUCCUGCUCCAAGAAAAGGCAAAGUGACUGGGUUGAUGGGACUCCACGGGACUAACAAUGGUUGGCCCCUGAACUGUUUUCUAAGGAUGGAAUCAGCGAAAACUGCCUGGCUUUUGUUUUGCUGGCCAGAUCAUGCAAGCUGUGAAUUGAAUUACUAGGGAAAGGAGAAAAAUAGUUGAGAGGCAGUGUUGGGAAUGUUAGGCUGAAGGAAAAACAAAGAGAACUAGAAGACGUCGGGGCCCAUAGUGGAACUUUGAGAAAUGAACAGAUGCGUUUAAAAGGCUCCCAUCCUGGUUCCCACAUUACACUGAGUCAUCAUGUCUCCAUAGGCUCCUCCUGGCUGUGACUGUUUCUCAGAUUUUUCUUGUUUUUGGUUGCCUUGAGAGUUGUCAGCGGUAAUGGUCAGGUAGGUACUGAGAAAUUGAGCAAUUCACAAUAGAAUGGAUAUGGCAGCAGCUUCAAAAUUUACAAAAUAGUUGAUUAUGAUCACAUGCUACACCCUCGACUUGCUGAUGGGGCAGCGUGGAUUCAACCAGGAAUGUCCUCCUUCCUGAAUGGAUGAUGAUGGGGCAAACACAGCGUUCCAGUCACUAGACAUGUACCUCCUAUGCAGGUGGGCACACAAGACAGCUGACUAAGGGAAGAAAUGCAUGAGAAAUUUGCAAAGAGGGAAAGCCAAGAGCACCUGUAGUGUUCUGGAGGUAGCUGCACACUGACAUCCCUUCACACCCAGUGGCCUCUUGUGAAAGAGAAGGCAAUGCAAUGCCGUCGGAGACAAAGCCCAGCUGAAGAGAGGCAGUGCACUUGCUGAUGGAUACUAAAUGAAAAGCAGGCAGAAAUCAGCAAUGCAUCCAGCUUCUGUUGAGGGAGAUUCAGUGGAAUGAUUUUUAUAUUUUCAUGAAGAAAUUACAGUUGAAUAUUAAAACCUGGUAUUUCAGUUUAUCUGGUCUGACUCCCAUCUAACUAACCAACAUAGCCAUGGAUUUUGUAAAACUCACUUAGCAAAUCAUCUUAAUUGGUACCAAAAAAGUGAUGGCUAUGGAAAUAUUGGCAUUUCUAUGUGCAUAACUGAUGUUUUUAUGAGGAUAAGAGGGAGAGAAGAAUCACAUUUCAAAGAAGCUUCUACUGAAAUAAACUAACCAGAAGAACUAAUUGUGGCAUACUUAACAGCUUUGAGCUUUAUGUGUACACUACCUAUGUUUCCUGUUCAGCAAGUGAAUGUCCCCAGGCCGGUAGGGGCAAUGUGAAGAUGAAUCUUAUAUCUCCAAUUUCUCGAAGAACAUUUAUUCAUCUUCCUGGAAUUCACUCAUUGCCAGUUCUUUUAGAAAUACUGACACAGUUAAUAGUGUCUAAUGUCGUGGAUGACUGCCUUCCACCGAUGUCGUGACUUCCCACCCAAGAACCAAUGACUUCUUUCUCUGUGAUUCAGCUCUCCACUGACCCUCAUGGGCAAGAGUGGGGUUUCAGCAAUUAUUCUUUCAACCUCUAUUGAUUAAUCACACGAUAUAAGCCAGACACAGUUCUGGGCAGCAGGAUACAAUAGUGAACAAGACAACCCCAAAUCCCUGCUCUUGUGGAACUGACAUUUUCUCAUGGGGUGUGGGGGUUGGGGAAGAAUGAGAGAUGUUAAAUGCAAAACCAAAAUAAAAGAAAUUUUAAGAUCAUGUGAUAGGGAGUGGCUGGCUGGUCAGGGAUAGCCUCUCCAGGACUGGGACAUUCAUGGGAGUUGACAUGUGAAUUAUGAGAAGAAGCCGACAAUGCCAAGAUCACAUGGCAACACGUUUCAUGCAAAAGAAACAGCCAGCAUGAAGCCUGUGAGCUGGGAACAAGACCGGCUCAGGUCAAGGGACAGACAAAAAGGCCAACAAGGCUGAAAAAGAAUAAGGAAGAGGAGAGGGGUGUGAGGUUCAGCAGGAAAGAUCUGAAGGACUGGGUCAGACAGGGUUCUUCAGGACAUGGAAAAGAAUUUGAAUUUUUUAAAUAAAUGCAAUGAGAAGACACUGGAGAAUUUUAAUCAUGAGGGUAACAUAGUCUGUUUUGCAUUUGAAAACUAACAUUGUGACUGUUAGGCAGCAAAUGAAGUUGCCCUCCCCCAGUCCAUCCCUGGCCGUGGUUGAUCGAAACAUAAGUGACCAUCUUACCCGGUGUGUUUUUUGUCACUAUGGAAUUUGCAUUUAGGAACAAAGGGUCUGUGUUUAUUCAAGUGGUCUCUUCAUGGGGCCGAUACUGUAACAUACAUAGCUGGGGGUCUGAGGCAGCCACGUUGUGCCAAGGGCACUGAGGAGAAAAUGGCGGCCUGCUGGAUUCUUCUUUCUUCUGAGGCUCAGGUGACUGCUUGUCCUCAUAUCACUCCACCAGACUGUCAGGAGCUAAGCGGAGCUCGAGAGAGCUGAGCUGCCAGGUGUCAGGGUAGCUGAUUAAGACAACAAGCCAAGAUGAACAGUGAAGGCUUUAAUCAUUUACUGCAAUAGUAUGCACAAGAGACUAAACCAGAGAAAGUGCCGACUCCCCAUCAUUCCAUUUUCCCCAGCGCACCAGCCCUCAUUGAGGGUCUGGAUCAGCACUGAAGCCAAGGGAUUGUCUCACAGCUGAGGGACCCCUGAACAAGAGACUCCCGCCAUCAAAUGGAUCUGGAGCUGGCGGGGGGUGGGGAGAAGGAAGGGCUAUGAGUGUGAAAGUACUGAGCACUGAGUCAGAGUGGAGAAAAACAUCUCCAAGCCUCCCCGCUUCUUCUCCUUGAUAAGGUGACCCCUGCAGAGGUGUCUAAGAUAAGCCUCUGCAGAAAGCCUGUGAUAAAGAGGCCUCCAAAGAGAGGCACCUGGGCCAGGAAUGUGGAUGUGCAUAAGAGCAAGGCUGGCUGGGGGGACUCAGUGCUUGACUGCAACUCCCCUCAGAGACUCAAUGUGUCGGCUGUGCCCCAAGUCUGCAGUGGGGAGGGCAGUUUCUCCCCACGAGGUCUGACAGGUAAAGCCUGGUAUUAAUAAUUGCUUAUGGCCAGAUGUGAAAGUUCACACAUAGGUUUAGGGCUACGAACUGGUACUCCAAACAGACUAUGCUAGGUGCUUACUAUAAACCCAUCUACAGUAGAGCUUGAGUAACUUCUGCUGCUUGAAACUGGCACUCUAACUAAUGAAAUUUAAAAUGAACCCCAAAAUGAGUUAGAGUCAAAUAAUGACAGGAUGUGGGAAAUGAUCACAACAUAGGUAUAGACUCCAGAAAAAUGGGCACCACUACCCAUAAGAAGACGCCCAGAGAUAUCUUGCAGACUAUUUAAAUUGAGAGCAAGAGUUUGAGCCUGUACAGUAUUUCUGGCAAUCCAAAGAGGCAAACCCAGGGGCAGGAGCUAGAGAACUUGAAAUAUAACCAGAGUGGCCUAUCUCUGAGCUUACCUGUUGGCUUACUCUUUGCCAGAAAUUUCUGUUGUGCAACAAGAAUGAUAACAGUUGGGAAGAGAAGAAAGGUGCAAGAGAAGCCCUUGACUAUCUCACCAAACCCAUCCCCUCCCUCUGCUUCCUCCUUCACUCUGCUUUGGCCCCACUGGUCUGCUCCCUGUUGCCCGACAAGUUCACACCCCAGGUCCCUUGUAUAUGCUGUUCCCUUUGCCUGAAUUGCUCUUCCCUUCAGCCCUUGCUAGACUCCUUCAUUCAAGCCUCGGCUGAAACGUCACCAUUUUCAAGAGUGACCUGGCCAUUCCAUCCCAAAUGGCAGUUCUAUCACUUUUUAUCCCCUAACAGUGGUUUCUAUUUUUCUUUAUAAUACUUAUCACAACCUGAUAUUAUGAUUGAUUGCUUUGUUAGUUCUUGUGUCUUCCUGUGCCCACACUAGAAUGUAAGCUCCACGAAGUUGAGAGCUGUUUAGUUCAUAAAUCACUGCAUCCUCAGAGCCUAGAAUAGCACCCAGGAGUUAUUAGUUACUCCAUAAAUAUUAAUUAUAUGAAUGGAUGAAGGAAGAAAUGAAAGAAGGAAGAAAGAAGGAAGAAGGGAAGGCAAGGGAGGGGAAGGGAGGGGAGGAGAGGGAAGGCAAGGGAAGGGAAGGGGACAGGAGGGGAGGGGAGGGGAAGGGGAGGAGAGGGAAGGGAAGGGAAGGGGGAGGAAGGAAGGAAGGAAAGAAGGAAGGAAGGGAGAAAGAAAAAGAUGAGAAAGGGGAAAUAAAAUAUCUUAGAUUCUAAUUAGAGGAGCAAAAAUGAAUUAUAAAAGCCAAACAUGUAAAAUAGAAAAAUCUCUGAGUGUUUUACAUUUAAAGUUAAUCUUAGUUUGUUUUAUUCAUUCGUUUAUUCCUCUAAUAAAUAUUGUCUGAACAUCACAUUCUAGGGUUAUCAGAGAAGGCUGGAUCUUAAAGGUGAAGACCAUAAAGAAAGGACAGUGAGAUCAAAAAGAAAAGAUCUGUGUAGAAACAGUAAAAAAAAAAAACCUCACACAUCAGUGUGUCUGAGCAAAGCCAGGUUGAGAAAUAUUCUUGCUUAACUAUCAAACCUAACAAUAUAUUUUUCAGAUGUGAGAGAUGGAGUAAGAGAAAACCAUACCACAAUGGCUGCUGCCAGGCAGGAGUACGUCUUGGGCUGCUACUGUGGCUUCAUCACGUCCCCAUCCUGUGCUUAGAGGAGACCUCAUGGUUACAAGGUGGCCUCCCUCACUUCUAGGAGGACAUGAUAUCUAAAAUAUUUCACAAAUGGUACAGAUCUGGAGGCCCCUGCUCUUCCAGGAGUUUUUCCCUUUAGAAUCACAGGGAGAUCCAGGGGGCUUGGGCAAGGCACUAAGACAAAGAGGGACACUUGGGGAAUUCAGGAAAGUUGCUAUUUACCAACUGAUGGGAAAGUCUUUCAGCAUUUUCACAACUGCACCACCGUAUCUGUGGUAGCAGCUGAAUAUCCGUCCCAUUUCUAGAAUUCAGGUGGAAGGAGGAGGGAAGAAGAAGGGUGUGGGUUUCUCUUUUAGCAGGGCAUUGCAUUUAUUUCCUAAGAACAUUCUCCCAAGAAACUAAUACCCAAAUCUCACUGGGCCAAAGUAGGCCACGCGACAACUACUAACUGCAAAGGGGCAUGCAUCUGUGUUUUCCAAGCCUCUGCAAUCCAGAGAGGCAAGGAAAAGGGAGUUGUGACUGGCUUUUGGAAAGCCACUUCCCAGUUUCUGCUACACCUUAUCAUUAUGGUUUGGGAAGGGCACGAUUAAAGGCCAGCUCAUCUAUCCUAGAGGUGGGCAAAUUGAGAACGAGGAUCUCAGAAAGCAAAAAGCCCAACUUAAAGUAAUGCAUUAUAUUUUGAACACUGAAUGUUUGACAAUACAUUUCACGGCUCAUUUCCUGCUACUUGUGAAUGCUAGUAAACACUCAGAGAGCGAAUUCACAUUUUUCAUGUCAAAUAUCCUUAUGGUUCUCCCCUCCCCCAGCUUGUCAACAGUUAAACAGGCCCCUGUGAGGACAGUCUGUUCACACUAUAAUCUUCUGCGACACUAAACCUUAAUCUGUCUUAAAAAUUUCUAUUGUUUUUCACUAAAAGGUUAUUCCAGAAAUAUUUUAUAGAGCACAUUCAUUUUCUUGGCUGAGAAUGAAUUGCAAAAUCAGAGACACUCUAACCAAUACUGAAUCUCCCUUCCCAGUCCAAAUUUAAGAAUUUCAUGCGGAUUACUCAUUGCCAUCUAUCUAGCUAAUUCAAUGUCAUUAUUUUUCUCUGGUCCAGGCAGAAUUUACCCUUCCCUGAAAUGAGCUUAUCCCAUAAGAUAUUAGUGGAAGGAGAACAAUGUUGGUGAAGUUAGAGUCCCUGAAGUCCACACAUCCACUCUCAAGCCUGGAAUUAAGGAUCUGUCAAAGUCUUCCAUUAGAAGAGAAAUUUUUUUUUUUUUUUGAGACGGAGUCUCGCUCUGUUGCCCAGGCUGGAGUGCAGUGGCAUGACCUUGGCUCACUGCAACCUCUGCCUCCCGAGUAGCUGGGACUACAGGCACCCGCCAUCAUGCCCUGCUAAUUUUUGUAUGUUUAGUAGAGUCAGAGUUUCACCAUGUUGGCUAGGCUGCCCACCUCAGCUUCCCAAAAUGGUGGGAGUACAGGCAUGAGCUACCGCACCCAGCCUGUUUUUUUUUUUUUUUUAAAUGAUUGCAACUUGCAAAUUAAUAAAACAGAGAAUCAGGAAAGAGUUUGACUUAGCAACUAGUGACCUUCCCUAAAUACUUGGUUUUGCCUUUGAUUUCAUUCCCGCACUCCAACCUUACCCUGUUCUUAGCCUAAAUCUCACUUACUAUACAGAUUACAAUUUAUCUGCCACUUCCUUUCAUAGGCUUUCUCUGUCCCAAAGACUGAGUAAGGAACUUUGUCUGAACCUCCUCAUCGUCUACUCUCAUUUCUAACAUCCUAGCAAGUCUACAUCAUGGUGCAUAUGCAGCACUGUCCAAUGGAAAUGGAUGCAAGCCAUAUGUGUAAUUUAAGAGUCUCUAGUAGCCAUUUAAAAAAAGUAAAAAUAAACAAGUAAAACUAAUUUUAACAUAUUUUCUUUAAUGGAAUAUGUCCAAAGUAAUAUCAUUUUGAUAUCUAAUCAAUAUGAAAAAUACUAAUGGCAUAUUUUACAUCCCUUCAGUAGUUCCAGUGAAUGCUUUAUAUUUACAUAUCCCUCAAUUCAUUUCCUUCUUCCCUUCCUUCCUUCCUUCUUCCCUUCCCUUCCCUUUCCCUUUCUUCCUUCCUUCCUUGCCUCCCUCCCUCCCCCUC
rnacentral:lncRNA from 1 species